rnacentral:lncRNA from 1 species
GGUACUUCUGCACAAGGGUGUCCCCGGCAGGGCCGCCGAAAUGCUUCAGCCGCGCUCCAGACUCCAGAGCUGGAGCUUCCAGGCAGCAUGGUCACCAGGUGCCCCUGGCGACCUGAAGUCCCCUCCCCGCCCCCAGGUGCGGCACCAGGACUUGGGGGAUCCCUUCUGCCCCUCCUCACAGCCGUCCCUCCAGGGGGGCAGCAGGGCCUCAGCGCUCCCGGUGCAGGAGAUGUGGAGACGCACUGGCCACAGAGCAUUUAGUACAAAUAACUUUUAGCAAUAAACAACUAAACGUUGAUCUGUCUACCAAGAGCCAGCAAUCCUAAACCAUUCCAGUGCUAAAAUACUCCUCCCCCAAAAUUUCUUUGGUUGACCCAAGUCUAAAUAACGGCUGUGUCUGCUGUAGAGUCUUAAUAAUAUUACAUCACCUUUAGAUGUGGGUGUUUUUAUUACAUCAUCUUUAAUUAACGAUGUUUUCUACACGAUGUGAAUGUAGAGAAUCCCAGUUAACAGGCAGCACUGGCACAGAGGGAAUCAGCUAGGCUUAGCUUUGCCUUUUUCUUUUUCACUAAAUUCAGAAAGACUUGGAAUCCGAGCCCCACGGGGGCAGUUUGGUCUCCAGCCUGCAGAGUAGAUUUGAAAUAACCAAGGGGAGCCCCUGUGUAACCACCUGAACAUUUACUUGCCUUUACAAUUUGGGGGCUGGAGAGAUAUUUGAAAGCUACCAGAAUUGGUCCCAAAGACGCAUAGACAUGCUAUUUAUGGAAUUUGAUGUGAAAUGGGUUUGCUAUAAAUGUUUCCCAGUCUUAUGCUUUUAAAACUUUUCCUAACUAUUUGUAUCGAUAUAUCUGUUGCUUAACGUGAAAGAAAUUUUUCAAAAUUAAAAUAAAGCAAAAGAGGUCUGUGAUCAAUGAUGAGUGAAGCUAGAUUGACAAAUCUGACAUAAAGAGAAGCUCGGUUCUCCUUAUGUUUAUUUGACAAAUCUGACAUAAAGAGAAGGUCGGUUCUCCUUAUGUUUAUUUGUUAACUUUUGCAACAAAUUUACAAAAGUUAAGGCUUUAAAACAAAUUGUAAUUAUUCAUUAAUGUGACAGACCAACGUAUAGGUACAUAUGUAUUUCCCCAAUUUUCAAAAUAUACUUUAUUGCAAUU